GUCAGAUGAAAUUAGGUGCAUUUUUUGUGCUAUUACAAGGUAUGAAGUGCUUGAUUUGCAGAGCAGGAGGUCUAAAAUUUUAGUGAUACGCAAUAACCAUCCACUUUUAUCAUGAAAAAUUUACUUGUAUGAUUCAAGGGCUUCUUUGUUCAAUAGUCCAAUAAGCUGCCACAGGUUUUUUGGCAUCCAUUAGAAGCGCUUUGUUUCCUCAAAGUGGUUUUAUGUGGUAAAAUGUCUGUGAUAAACAUGUUCAUCUUGAACUCACGAAGUAUCCUUCAAUUUGAAAAAUUAACCAAUGUAUUCGAAAAGUUUUUCAAAAACCCAUGACCAUGAGAUCAAGGUAUUGAUCCUUUACCUUUUUUU
rnacentral:lncRNA from 1 species